CCUAUAACAAAGGGACCCAUAUGGCAAGAUAAUACAAAAGGGUCAGAUUCACCUUCUGUUAGUGGUCAAGUCCUCAAUGAAUACUUAUUUGGAGGCCCGACGCGCGACGAGGUGAUUAAUGUAUAUUUCCAUAUAAUUGAUAAGCUCGAUUGCAUGGGUGUACAUAAAUUUAGUCAACCUGGUAUUUUCUGCCGAACCGAAGUUGCAAUGCACGUACUCAAUAAGAUGUAGGGAUUUGGAAAGAAUGGGCCACUAACAGUUGAUUUUAUCAGGGAUGUAGCUUUUGAAUCCGCAUCUAUACGACACUUUUUGGAAAAAAUAAAUACACAUAUCUGCAGCAAGAAUAGAUUUGUACUUAUAACUUUACAUAGUAAUUGGCAUUGACAUUUACUAUCAAUUGAUUUGAAGAAACAACGUUUUGAGAGUUGGAACUCAUUGUGGAGCCACAGCGAGGCACAGGACGCGGCACAACUGCUGCGAAGUGGUUUUCGUCCUAUUUUGAGCAUAUCCUUCAAAUCCCCGUCGGCACUCCUGACGUCGUAUUUCGUAAAGAAUGUCAACAAUAGGGUUCCACGGACGUCGAUUGUGGCAUGUACACAUGCCUUUUUGCCGAGCGACUCGUAAGAAACGGCCUCCCCGAUCUAUUAUUGUACGAUAAUGACCCCCCCCUCUUUUCGUGCGCAUAUGGUCAGGGCAAUCUUAAAGGAUCCAUGCAGUGUGACCUAUAAUUCUAUGAUUGAGUCCGCUGUCCCAAAAACAAACGUCUGAAUAUUAUAUGAUUGUGCAAUUGUGCCUGGUAGUGGGAUGUAUUAUGUUGUGAAUGUUAAAUGCUGUGAAUGUUAUAUACUGUGAAUGUUAUAUGAUUAUGAAUGAUAUAUUAUUGUGAAUUUUAUAUGUUGUA